rnacentral:rRNA from 1 species
AUCGAACGCUGGCGGCAGGCCUAACACAUGCAAGUCGAACGAGUGGCGGACGGGUGAGUAAUGUCUGGGAAACUGCCUGAUUGAGGGGGAUUACUACUGGCAACGGUAUCUAAUACCGCAUACCAUCAGCUGUGCCCAGAUGGGAUUAGCUUGUUGGUGGGGUAACGGCUCACCAAGGCGACGAUCCCUAGCUGGUCUGAGAGGAUGACCAGCCACACUGGAACUGAGACACGGUCCAGACUCCUACGGGAGGCAGCAGUGGGGAAUAUUGCACAAUGGGCGAAAGCCUGAUGCAGCAAUGCCGCGUGAAUGAAGAAGGCCUUCGGGUUGUAAAGUACUUUCAGCGGGGAGGCGUUAACCGCAGAAGAAGCACCGGCUAACUCCGUGCCAGCAGCCGCGGUAAUAC